ensembl:lncRNA
AUGCAAACCAGUGCUUAUGUAUGGCUGUCCCAUCCUGCAGGAAGUGGCCUGGAAAAUAUCUUCUGUUCAUUCAGACUGCACGUCUCUCCAUUGCAGGCUCCCUUUAGCAUAGAUGCUGAAGGAACUACCAGGGGAACACAUGGCCGUCAUUCAAAAUCAGCGCUCCAAAACAACAACAGGAUUUUGUUACUAUGGAAAAAGCGGUCAUUAAACACAGUACUUGUUUUGAUACUUCAACACAAAUCCAAAUCCCAGUCAACAUCUGGUUUGGUUGCUUGGUUAUGGAGGUAUGACAGUAAAAUAACAGCUUAAGCCCUUUUAGAAAAGACUGAGUCUUUAAAAAAAACAAAGACGACAUGCAUAAUGUCUGUUGAUUAUGAGGUCGGGAGAGGUAGACGUGCUGAGUGCUUUCUGCAAGCGCUCUUGGAUCCCUCAGUGUGAAGGUGAGUUUGCACAGAAGGAGACCCUCUGGCAUCAAAGUUGAACCUGGAGCUUAGCCAAGACUUAGCAUGAAACAAUCCCUCUCCCCUCCCUCACUAUGAGUCAUAGUGUGCCUGUACUGUACAGUACUUCACAGAAAAACUUUAGCAUGCACAUUCGGUGUGCUUAUAUUCAGACUAAUUUACUGGAAACAGAAGAGUCCUAUUACUCUUUCUCCUCCUUGAGCUGCCUUUUCUCUUAGAAACAGAGACUGUGCAUUCAGAAAACAAUGUUUUUUGUGUUCUUUCAUAGAAAUGUGCAUACAGUAAUCACAUAAUCAUGUACAUAACAAACACAUACACUUACAAUUCCCACCAGUCAUACAAAAUAGAAACUUGCAACCAGCCAAAAUGUACAAAACUGUGCAAGUCAUGGCAAGCUUCACUGUUGCUAUUGUUCACAGUUUGGGGUUUUCCAAUCCCCUAAUGAUCAGUGUUAUACUUUGGUGCAACUUGUCACAUACUUUGCAUUAUGAAAGAGAAGUAUGCUAUUACUUUUCUAAAAAAAAAAAAAAAAACCUGUUAAAUUUACAGUAAGAAGGUGGCUGUGAAAUUCACUGUAACAUUUACAGUGGAAAUGUUUCAGGUAUUAAGGGAUGGCAAAUUGAUGUCUGUAUAUUUUUUACCUUAUAGCCAUAUAUUUCAUUAAAUGACAUAUUGUCUACUUGAAAUAUUUUCCUUUAAAAUAUACUGAUAACCACUGUAAUAAUACAAGAGAUAAAACAAAGUGCCACAUUCAUGGUAAGUUACCUGUACAUAAAACAUGGUCAAUACUCAUAUUUAGAUGGUGCACAUGCACAUAAAGAAAAAAACACCAUAAGGGUAAUUGGUAAUUAUUAUGCAAUAAAAUUAACCAAAUAAAAGGAAAUGGAAGGAUU